CUGCUCCCCUGCAGCUGCACCCAAGACAGCAACACCCCCCCCACAAGCAGGUAAGCUGUCCUUCCCCUGGGGCUGGGUCUGUCCAUGGACAAGCUGUGACCCACAGCCAGGGGAAGGGGCUCCUUAUUGGGCUCUGAGACUCCCAGGAAAUCAAGGGAGCUGGGAGAAGUCUGUGAUGGACCCAGAAGGGUGGGAGCUGCCCCAUUACCCAGCCCUGUCCCCCCCAGCCCCUGCUACCUUGUGUGGUCAGGAGUGGCAUGUCCUGCCCCCAAACUCUCCCUUGUCUGAUGCUGCCCCUGCCAUGUUCCUGUCCAUGCAGAUCCCCCACAGGGCCGUCCGACCACCAGCAGUGAGGGACUCUCGGUGCCUGUCGUCAUCUGCAUCAUCCUGGGGGCCCUCCUCUGCCUGCUCCUGGCCCUCCUGGCUGGGCAGGUGCGAAGCGCCAGGGCUCGGCGCAGAGGUGGGUUCUUCCCCAGUGGUUCUGGGUGGGGAGAUGCCUCCUGGCAGGGCUGGGGGUGCUGGGGGUGUUGGUGUUCUGGGGCACAGAAACAGAGCCGUGUGCUGCCUCCUGCCCCAUGUGCUGCCCCACUGACUGACAGACCAUGGUGUACCAACAUCAAGGGGUGGAGAGAGCCCAGAGCCUGAGGCAUCAGUUCUGGGGUGAGAAGAGAAAUGUGAGAGCUGGGCUGGGUGAGACGGGGAGGAUGCACUGCUGGCAGUGCUCUGGGCAGCACUGGCAGGAGGAGCAUGGGACAGCAGGGUCCAUCACCGUGGUGUCAGCCACCCCGCAACAGGGCACAGGCUGUGCUAUUGCUGUGUGGGGCAGAGAUGGAGCAGCUCCAUGGGGAGGAGAAAUGAGGGAAUUGGUGCAGAGUCUGCACUGGGACAUGACCCAGGGAACAAAGGGGCACAAGGGCUGUCUCCAGAGGGAUGGGUCGAGGCUGACUCUGUCCCAGACCAUCCCAUGGGGAUGCUGCCCUCCCUGGGGAUGUGGCCUCAGUGCCAACACAACACAGAGGGGCUGUGCUGUGGGGACAGCCCUGUGCUGGCCUAGGGAAUGGGGCUGGGGGAGUCCAGUGGGGUCCUGUCCCUCUCUGCCCAUGCCCAAACCUGCCCUGCUUCUGUCCCCAGGCUCUGGGAGAGCCUGGGAGCCCUUCCCUGAGGCCGUGUACGAGGAGAUCGCUUACAGCGUGGCGUGGGAGAAGCAGGCGAGGUUCAGUCUCUCAGAUGUCCCUGUCCUGCCCGGAGGUUACCCAGCAGAUGGCUAUGAUGAUGCUGGGGAGGUUUCUGACCC
rnacentral:lncRNA from 1 species